rnacentral:rRNA from 1 species
CCGGCGCACGGGUGAGUAACACGUAUGCAAUCCACCUGUAACAGGGGGAUAACCCGGAGAAAUCCGGACUAAUACCCCAUAAUAUGGGCGCUCCGCAUGGAGAGUUCAUUAAAGAGAGCAAUUUUGGUUACAGACGAGCAUGCGCUCCAUUAGCCAGUUGGCGGGGUAACGGCCCACCUAGUCUUCGAUGGAUAGGGGUUCUGAGAGGAAGGUCCCCCACAUUGGAACUGAGACACGGUCCAA